rnacentral:tRNA from 1 species
ACCUGGCUGGCUCAGUCGGUAGAGCGUAUGACUCUUGAUCCUGGGGUUGUAAGUUCAAGCCCCACGUUGGGUA